UGGGAACGUGCCCAAAGGUACGGAACAACUCCGGGAAACUGGAGCUAAUACCGUAUGUGCCCGAAAGGAGAAAGAUUCAUCGCCUUUGGAUCGGCCCGCGUCUGAUUAGCUAGUUGGCGGGUAAUGGCCCACCAAGGAGACGAUCAGUAGCUGGUCUGAGAGGACGACCAGCCACACUGGAACUGAGAUACGGUCCAGACUCCUACGGGAGGCAG
rnacentral:rRNA from 1 species